rnacentral:rRNA from 1 species
GAGUUUGAUCAUGGCUCAGGAUGAACGCUGGCGGCGUGCUUAACACAUGCAAGUCGAGCGAAGCACUCUGUCCGGAUUCUUUCGGGAUGACGGACUUAGUGACUGAGCGGCGGACGGGUGAGUAACGCGUGGGUAACCUGCCCUUGAGAGGGGGAUAACGUCUGGAAACGGACGCUAAUACCGCAUAAAAUUAUCCAGUCGCAUGGCAGGAUAAUCAAAGGAGCAAUCCGCUGAAGGAUGGACUCGCGUCCGAUUAGAUAGUUGGUGAGGUAAAGGCUCACCAAGUCGACGAUCGGUAGCCGGACUGAGAGGUUGAACGGCCACAUUGGGACUGAGACACGGCCCAGACUCCUACGGGAGGCAGCAGUGGGGGAUAUUGCACAAUGGGCGAAAGCCUGAUGCAGCAACGCCGCGUGAGGGAAGACGGUUUUUCGGAUUGUAAACCUCUGUUCUAAGUGACGAAGAAUGACGGUAGCUUAGGAGGAAGCCCCGGCUAAC